UGUAUGUUAGCUCAGGGCCAGUCUUCCUCAGCGAAAAGAGGAGGAUUGGCAGCAAUUAGCUCACGGCUAAUCUUCCUCAAAAAAAAAAAAAAAAAAAGGAAGAAAAGAAAAACUAGUCCUUAGGAGGGGAAUGAAAUUCAAAGUCCAAGAGUGGUGCUGGCGAUUACAUUGUGAAUGCAGGAAGAAGCAAGGCUAGUUGACAAAGGCCCAGAUGUUACAGAAUGAGUGAGCUUAAUUCUUGAAUUAAUUCCAGUUAUUCUUGGCUUAGGCUUAAAACAAACAUAAGAACACCCUCCAAAUGGACUCAAAGAGGAGAAUAUUUUUUCACAAGUUGAACAUUAGGAAGAAGGCUGACUUUAACGUCACCACUGUGAAAGGCAAUGGCUUGUAACAACUCCCUUUUCCCUUUUUAAGGCCUCCUGUAAAAGCAAAAAUAUUUCAUAAAAUGUCCUUUAGUUCUCUUGCAGCAUUGGAUGGUGAAUAAUCAUAUUUAUCAUUAGUAAGGGAAAUAAGUCAAAUUUUCAUUCUCCUCCCAGUCUCAUUAUUUGUAGAUUAGUUUUGAAUAAAGUUUGCAUUUUCACAGUUAUUUAUCAUUCUACUCUGAUUUUUCAUAGGCAGUUUCAAUGCUUUUGCUAACAAGUUGUCAAGCGGUAGAUUUAAAAUGAUAACUACCUUUUGAGGCUCAAGGUUUAGAAAACCUAAAGAGAAUGAGGCCUGUGUUCGCGGUUUUCCUCUUGAAUAAGUAAUGCUACUUUAGGAAGGCGAUUUAAGCUGAAUGCUUUGAAGUACUACAUUGAAGACCUGAGGCUAAAUCGUUAAAAAUCUGGAGUGUCUCUUUCUCCUUUCCCUUGUACCCAUCUUAUCCCAAUAUGAGAAGUUUAAUGUGGGAGGAAAUCACUUUAUGAAGGGAGCGAGAGCUGCUGUAAACCUUCUGCUGCGAUUUAGGGAUCAGGGGACCCUUAUCGUCUGCUCCAGAGGUCAGCCCAGGAAGUGAUGAAAGGCUGGCCCGGGGGCUCAUUCCUGUGCUGGGUGGGGAUGCGGAGGAACCACUCCUCAGCGACGCAGGUGUGCAGUGGAGAACUGCUUAUUUCUACAACUGUUCAGUUUGCAGAAAAGUCCUUUCCUGGACGCACAGCGGCUUGGACUUCUGAAAAGCUGGGGACUGACGGAGAGUUGAGUUCUUCAUUCUAGGUCUCUCACUUGAAGGAAAUCAAGAACUUCAGGAUCACUUUUGCCUCUUGUCCUGGUGAAAAGUGUGAUCCGAGGAAGCGACUGCUGAUCCCGGCUCCUCGGUGUGAGAGCUUGGGCACUGAGACCAACUGCAUACUCUGGAAACACAGUCACUUUGGCAGCUGACAAGUAAUGAGCCAGGAAGACGCGCGUGAUGAGACUGGAAGUUUCUUCAACAAAUAUUUACUGAGCCCUCCGAUGAUUAAUCAGGCACAGCAGGUGCUGGCGACGACGAGAGUGAACAAAACAGACAAAAAUCCUUGUCAUCAUGGAGCAUAUAUUCUAGUGUGAGACCAAAA